CUUGGUCAUUUAGAGGAAGUAAAAGUCGUAACAAGGUUUCCGUAGGUGAACCUGCGGAAGGAUCAUUACCGAGUUUUCGAGCUCCGGCUCGACUCUCCCACCCUUUGUGAACGUACCUCUGUUGCUUUGGCGGCUCCGGCCGCCAAAGGACCUUCAAACUCCAGUCAGUAAACGCAGACGUCUGAUAAACAAGUUAAUAAACUAAAACUUUCAACAACGGAUCUCUUGGUUCUGGCAUCGAUGAAGAACGCAGCGAAAUGCGAUAAGUAAUGUGAAUUGCAGAAUUCAGUGAAUCAUCGAAUCUUUGAACGCACAUUGCGCCCCUUGGUAUUCCGGGGGGCAUGCCUGUUCGAGCGUCAUUACAACCCUCAAGCUCUGCUUGGAAUUGGGCACCGUCCUCACUGCGGACGCGCCUCAAAGACCUCGGCGGUGGCUGUUCAGCCCUCAAGCGUAGUAGAAUACACCUCGCUUUGGAGCGGUUGGCGUCGCCCGCCGGACGAACCUUCUGAACUUUUCUCAAGGUUGACCUCGGAUCAGGUAGGGAUACCCGCUGAACUUAAGCAUAUCAAUAAGCGGAGGA
rnacentral:rRNA from 1 species